rnacentral:lncRNA from 1 species
GAGCACAACCAACAGAUAGAUUGGUACUAAAUCAUGGGAAGGCAUACACUUAACAUAUAUAUGAGGCUUGCUGGCGGUGCUAAAGUUAGCUAAAUAUGACAAAAGCCUGCAGAAAUCUCAAAGCCUUCAGAUUCUCUUUCAAUCAUAGAUCGUUUAUAUGCCUUACAUAUGUUUGGUGUUCUAAUCCAUUUCUUGGGUUUUGUAAUUUUUCUUCAUUUCAAAAACAAAUUGAAAGGAUUAAUAUCACAUUCAUCUAGAUAAGUUUAUACUACUUCAUCAAUAUCACAGUGCACAUACUGCACAAAUCAAUGUCAUGAGUUGAGGAGGAGACGAAGAUACUAACCUGGAAUUCUUGGAGCUGAUAUCCGGAAAGGAUUUGGAUUGUUGUACGCCCUUUAUAGAUAAAAACCCAGGCAAAUCCCUUCUCUUCUCCUUUCUCCUCUCCUCUCUAUCCUCGAUCGUCCUUGAAAUUUCUGGAAUUGCUCUCUCUGACAAAUCCAGACAAAUCCCUGAUUCUCUCCUAUCUCCUCUCUCUCACCUCGAUCUGAAAACGAAUUGGAUUCGGUCACUGACCACACCCUUUAUAGAUACAAACCCAGAAAAAUCUCUCCUCCUCUUUCUCGAUCUAGAAACGAAUUGGAUUCAGCUACUCAGCCUUGAACCUUAGUCGGUGCUCUCUCUGAUAAUCAGCAGUUGUCGAAAUUUCUGGUCUCUGAAAAGGUCGGUGCUCUCUGAAAAUGUCGAAAUUUCUAUAUCCACGCAAGUCCAACACCAAAGCCUUGCUCACGGGAACAGUAAAAACACUGUACACUUGAACAGAAACAGACCCGACGCAAAAUAGUAUAUUGUAUAAUAAUACCCGCGCUUUUCAAAAUUUAAAUAUUUGUUGAAGGAAAAAUACCUUAUGUGUGCCUUCGUCAAAGUAAUUGACGAGAAUAGAUUAAGGCAUUAGUGAUUAAUGGAUGUAACGGCUCUAUUAGUUAUAUCAGUCAUUAUGUACAUUGUUAUUAUCAUUGAUUAUCGUCAUUAUGUGCGUGCAAUUACCGUUGAAAUUCACCUCUAUAUAAAGAGGGUUUCUAAUGAGAAUGAGUAGACCUUGUUCCAUAUCAUAUUUUCUGUAACAAUAUUAUAAUUGUAAAAAAUAAAAAUAAAAGAAACCGCCUAGGCGGUGGGCUGGGCGAACACUUGGGCUACCUCCCUCGGUCCAAAAUUUUAGUAAAAAAUAAAAAAAUAAAAAAAUAUUUUUAGGAAACUGGCUAGGUGGGCUAGGUGGACACUCACUGAUUUUCGUCUAAUUGCAUUUCACUUGAUAUCAGAUUGUUCCACCGCCAAUUCAACUCAGAAGAGGUUCCUCAGUUCUUCUCCAAAAAAAGAAAGUGAUUUCUCAACUGGCUCUUCAAUGUAAUGCGCUAAUUACAUUAUGUAGAUUAUUAUAAGCAUAGACAAUUUCUUUUGGUCUCUUUUAAGGCUAUUAAGCUAAUCAUAGUUCUUCCAGUGGAGAUUGCUUGAAUAUUCAUGUUUUCUACUGUCUGAGGAGUUUGGUUAUGUCAUGUUGUCUCUGUUUUGGAUUUUGGUAGUUCCUCAAGAAUCUGGACAAGAAUACUACAGAAGAACUUAGCGUGCUGGUUUAAAUCCAUAAGCUUUUUUUUUUUUUUUUUUUUCUAUUCAUCAUGUGUCUUGUUCAAUUAUUACUCAUAACUUUUAUGCAGAGCAUCUGUCUCUAGUAUUAGUGAAUUUGAAGAGACAGAACUGUUUAGUCAUUCAAACAGUUCCUAGCAACUUAUUAACGUGAAGUCGUGAACUAGACUAAUGAACUGAAUUUCUGGAAAAAUGAAAGCAGCUAAUUUGUUUAUACUUCAAUGUGAAGGUCAGUUUGAUACAGACCAGAACUAGACGAACAUAGCUUCACCAGUCAUUUUUGUUCUUUUGUAUGUACUGUGUAGUGUGUACACAGAAGUAUCAAAAUUUCAAACCUUGCGUGUAGCUUUGUUUGCAGUAUGUUAUACUUUCCCUUGUUGGGUGUUAUGAGUGGGUGACAUUGUUGCCAAGCAGUGCAGCUCCUUGAAGAUAACUGGGCCUAGGUUGGGCUCCAACGAAGUCGUGUUAAGUCGUUACGUGGUAUAGGGCUUUCCCACAACCUUGACGUUGAUCUAGGAAGAAGAAGUAUUGCAUUGAGUUGUUUUGAUAUCGUUUUGCACGAUUUGACAUUUAUAAGCUAAGAUUACUCUUAGGCAGGCUUGUAGGGAGAACUUCUAAUGAAGACCAAGUUAUGAUUUUUGAAUGAACGGUUGGAUGAUAUAGAUGUUAGAAUUUGAAAAUAUCAACUAAAACUUAAAACACUCAUCUAACUGUUCAUUCAAACGUUCUCACUUGGUUUCCAUUAUAAGGUUCUCAUUAGAACUUAAAAGCUUUCUCUAGGCUUGUAUAUGGUCGAGUUCUGAAGAGCAAAUCUAGAGCAGGGACAUAUCUAUGUUGUAGGCUGGUUGGGUUGUAGUCUAAGUGAAAAUUCUCCUAAACUAGUUUAUACUAGAAAUAAUACCCGCGCUUUGCUCAAAAUUUAAAUAUUAUAAUUGUAAAAAAAAAUAAUUAAAAGAAACCGCCUAGGCGGUGGGCUGGGCGAACACUUGGGCUACCUCCCUCGGUCCAAAAUUUUAGUAAAAAAUAAAAAAAUAAAAAAAUAUUUUUAGGAAACUGGCUAGGUGGGCUAGGUGGACACUCAGGCCCGCUAGGCGGUUGGAAAAUAGUGGGCCGGGUCGGGUAUUUAAAUAAUGUGACUUUUGAGAUUUUUUCUCACUCAUAUACUAUUUACGUUGACA